GUCAAGCAAUUAAGCGUACGUGGUGGAUGCCUUGGCAGCUAGAGGCGAUGAAGGACGUGGUAGGCCACGAAAGUCUUCGGGGAGCAGUCAAACAUGCUUUGAUCCGGAGGUAUCCGAAUGGGGAAACCCACCCAGUUUACUGGGUACCUUGCACUGAAUACAUAGGUGUAAGGGGCGAACGCGGAGAACUGAAACAUCUAAGUACCCGCAGGAAAAGAAAUCAACCGAGAUUCCCAAAGUAGCGGCGAGCGAAAUGGGAUUAGCCCUUAAGUUACAGUGGAUUUAGCAGAACGCUCUGGAAAGUGCGGCGAUAGAGGGUGAUAGCCCCGUAUGCGAAAGGUCCAUUGUAGUGAAAUCGAGUAGGUCGGGACACGUGAAAUCCUGACUGAACAUGGGGGGACCAUCCUCCAAGGCUAAAUACUCCUAGCUGACCGAUAGUGAACUAGUACCGUGAGGGAAAGGCGAAAAGAACCCCGUUGAGGGGAGUGAAAUAGAACCUGAAACCGUGUGCUUACAAGCGGUCGGAGCAUACAAGUUGUGUGACGGCGUGCCUUUUGCAUAAUGAGCCUACGAGUUACUCUUCUCUGGCAAGGUUAAGUGGUUAAGCCACGAAGCCGAAGCGAAAGCGAGUCUGAAUAGGGCGUGCAGUCAGAGGAGGUAGACGCGAAACCUUGUGAUCUACCCAUGGACAGGUUGAAGGUGCCGUAACAGGUACUGGAGGACCGAACCGAUAAACGUUGAAAAGUUUCCGGAUGAUCUGUGGGUAGGGGUGAAAGGCUAAUCAAACUGGGAAAUAGCUCGUACUCCCCGAAAUGUUUUUAGGAACAGCGUGGAUAUUAAGUUUCAUAGAGGUAGAGCUACUAAUUGGGUGCGGGGGAGUCAAAUCCUACCAAAUCCAGAUAAACUCCGAAUGCUAUGAAAUAUGAUCUGCAGUGAGGCGCGGGGUGCUAAGGUCACGCGCCGAGAGGGAAAGAACCCAGACCAUCAGCUAAGGUCCCUAAAUUACCGCUAAGUUGAACUAACGAGGUCCGAUUGCACAGACAGCUAGGAUGUUGGCUUGGAAGCAGCCAUUCAUUUAAAGAGUGCGUAACAGCUCACUAGUCGAGCGGACGAGCAUGGAUAAUAAUCGGGCAUAAACAUAUUACCGAAGCUAUGGACUUGUAAAAGUGGUAGGGGAGCAUUGUAACCUGCGUAGAAGGUGUGUUGUGAGACAUGCUGGAGUGGUUACAAAAGAAAAUGUAGGCAUAAGUAACGAUAAUGCGGGUGAGAAACCCGCACACCGAAAGACUAAGGUUUCCUCAGCGAUGCUAAUCAGCUGAGGGUUAGUCGGGUCCUAAGGCGAAUCCGAAGGGAGUAGUCGAUGGAUAACAGGUUAAUAUUCCUGUACUUCUUAUAAUUGCGAUGGGGUGACGGAGUAUUGAAAACACCGCGUACUGACGGAAUAGUACGUUAAAGACUGUAUUUAUAGGACCUGUAGGUAAAUCCGCAGGUUUUGGAGAAGGUCGAUAGUACCACAAAUCUUCGGAUGAGUGGAUAGUGUGUCUAAAAGCUUCCAAGAAAAACCUCUAAGCUUCAGAUUAUAAGAACCCGUACCGUAAACCGACACAGGUAGUUGGGAUGAGAAUUCUAAGGUGCUCGAGAGAUUCAUGGCUAAGGAACUAGGCAAAAUAGACCCGUAACUUCGGGAGAAGGGUCGCCCAUCUUCGGAUGGGCCGCAGUGAAAAGGUCCAGGCGACUGUUUAUCAAAAACACAGGGCUUUGCUAAAUUGAAAGAUGAUGUAUAAGGCCUGACACCUGCCCGGUGCUGGAAGGUUAAGUGGAGGGUUUAGCUUCGGCGAAGAUCUGAAAUGAAGCCCCAGUAAACGGCGGCCGUAACUAUAACGGUCCUAAGGUAGCGAAAUUCCUUGUCGGG
rnacentral:rRNA from 1 species